UACGUAGGUGGCAAGCGUUGUCCGGAUUUAUUGGGCGUAAAGCGCGCGCAGGCGGUUUCUUAAGUCUGAUGUGAAAGCCCUCGGCUUAACCGAGGAGGGUCAUUGGAAACUGGGAGACUUGAGUGCAGAAGAGGAAAGUGGAAUCCAAGUGUAGCGGUGAAAUGCGUAGAGAUUUGGAGGAACACCAGUGGCGAAGGCGACUUUCUGGUACUGUAACUGACGCUGAGGCGCGAAAGCGUGGGGAGCAAACAGG
rnacentral:rRNA from 1 species